UACGUAGGGGGCAAGCGUUGUCCGGAAUCAUUGGGCGUAAAGAGCGUGUAGGCGGCCUGAUAAGUCGGCUGUGAAAGUCAAGGGCUCAACCCUUGAAUGCCGGCCGAUACUGUCAGGCUAGAGUCCGGAAGAGGCGAGUGGAAUUCCUGGUGUAGCGGUGAAAUGCGCAGAUAUCAGGAGGAACACCUAUGGCGAAGGCAGCUCGCUGGGACGGUACUGACGCUGAGGCGCGAAAGCGUGGGGAGCGAACAGG
rnacentral:rRNA from 1 species